GUAAGUUCCGACCUGCACGAAUGGUGUAAUGAUGGCCAGGCUGUCUCCACCAGAGACUCAGUGAAAUUGAAAUCGCUGUGAAGAUGCAGUGUAUCCGCGGCUAGACGGAAAGUCCCCGUGAACCUUUACUAUAGCUUCACAGUGAACUUUGAGCAUGUUUGUGUAGGAUAGCUGGGAGGCUUUGAAGUGGGAACGCCAGUUCUCAUGGAGCCAACCUUGAAAUACCAGCCUGACAUGUUUGAGGUUCUAACUUGGUCCCCUUAUCGGGGAUGAGGACACUGUGUGGUGGGUAGUUUGACUGGGGCGGCCGCCUCCCAAAG
rnacentral:rRNA from 1 species